UUUUUCUUUUGUAAUAUAAAGUUGUUGAAUUAGUGUGUAAAACACUUUAUAAAAUUUAAAACACUGAAUAGAGUUGAAAUAUUAUUAUGAUUUAUGUAACACUCUACUGGUCUGUUAUUUACAUUCUAUAGGUAUUGCAUAGUUAUUAUACAGUAUUGAAUAUUUGUACAAGAAUUUUAUCCACCAGUGUUAGACCUUAAGCUUCAUGAGAGCUACAAUAAUAUUUUAACUAUUUUCUGCUGACCCUCCCCUACUAUCACAGUGCUCUAGGUUCAUAGUGGUGCUUAAUGCAUGGUUGUUGAAGGCAAGGAGGAUGGGAAAAGGGAAAGAAAGAAGGAGAGAAAGAAAGAAAGAAAGAAAGAAAGAAAGAAAGAAAGAAAGAAAGAAAGAAAGAAAGAAAGAAAGAAAGAAAGAAAGAAAGAAAGAAAGAAAGAAAGAAAGAAAGAAAGAAAGAAAGAAAGAAAGAAAGGAGAGAAAGAAAGAAAGAAAGAAAGAAAGAAAGAAAGAAAGAAAGAGAGAGAGAGAAAGAAAGAAAGAGAGAGAAAGAAAGAAAGAAAGAAAGAAAGAAAGAAAGAAAGAAGGAGAGAAAGAAAGAAAAGAAAGAAGGAAUGAAUGAACAAACAAAUGAAUGAAUGAAGGAACAAAGGAAGCAAGGAAGGAGAGAGGGAAGGAAGGAAGGAGGGAAGGAAAGGGAGGAGAUAGGGAGGAAUGGAAGGAAGAAGGAUGGAAAAGGGAAUGAGGGGGAGAGGGAGGAAAGGAAGAAAGAAAGGAAGAAAGAAAGAAAGAAAGAAAGAAAGAAAGAAAGAAAGAAAGAAAGAAAGAAAGAAAGAAAGAAAGAAAGAAAGAAAGAAAGAAAGAAAGAAAGAAAGAAAGAAAGAAAGAAAGAAAGAAAGAAAGAAAGAAAGAAAGAAAGAAAGAAAGAAAGAAAUAGAGGGAGGAAUGAAGUAAGGGAGGGAGGGGGGAAGAGAGAGGGGAAGGAAGGAAGAGAGAGAGGAAGGGAGGAAGAGAGAGAGGAAGGGAGGAAGGGAGAAAAGGAUAGAGGGGGAAGGAAGGGAGGGAGGAAAUGAGGAAAGAAGGGAUGGAGGGACAGAGGAAAGGAGGUAGGAAGGAAGGAAAAAAGGAAGGGGAAGGAAGGAGGGAAGGAAGGAGGGAAGGAAGGGGAGAAGGAAGAAAGGAAGGAAGGAAAAAAGGAAGGAAGGAAGGAGGGAGGGAAGGAAGGGGGAAGGAAGAAAGGAAGGAAGGAAGGAACGAACGAACGAACGAACGAACGAAUGAACGAACGAACGAACGAACGAACGAAGGAAGAAA
rnacentral:lncRNA from 1 species